rnacentral:rRNA from 1 species
AACGAACGCUGGCGGCGCGCCUAAUACAUGCAAGUCGAGCGAGAAGGUGUAGCAAUACACUUGUAAAGCGGCGAACGGGUGAGGAAUGCAUGGGUAACCUACCCUCGAGUGGGGAAUAACUAGCCGAAAGGUUAGCUAAUACCGCAUACGUUUCCGGAACUUCGGUUUCGGAAAGAAAGCAAUACCGUGGGUAUUGCGCUCCUGGAUGGGCUCAUGUCCUAUCAGCUUGUUGGUGAGGUAACGGCUCACCAAGGCUUCGACGGGUAGCUGGUCUGAGAGGACGAUCAGCCACACUGGCACUGCGACACGGGCCAGACUCCUACGGGAGGCAGCAGUAAGGAAUAUUGCGCAAUGGACGGAAGUCUGACGCAGCGACGCCGCGUGGGGGAGUGAAGGUCUUCGGUAUUGUAAACCCCUUUACCGGGUACGGGGAAGGAAGUGGAGGUGGGUAA